rnacentral:rRNA from 1 species
AAAUUGAAGAGUUUGAUCAUGGCUCAGAUUGAACGCUGGCGGCAGGCCUAACACAUGCAAGUCGAACGGUAACAGGAAGCAGCUUGCUGCUUCGCUGACGAGUGGCGGACGGGUGAGUAAUGUCUGGGAAACUGCCUGAUGGAGGGGGAUAACUACUGGAAACGGUGGCUAAUACCGCAUAACGUCGCAAGACCAAAGAGGGGGACCUUCGGGCCUCUUGCCAUCAGAUGUGCCCAGAUGGGAUUAGCUGGUUGGUGAGGUAACGGCUCACCAAGGCGACGAUCCCUAGCUGGUCUGAGAGGAUGACCAGCCACACUGGAACUGAGACACGGUCCAGACUCCUACGGGAGGCAGCAGUGGGGAAUAUUGCACAAUGGGCGCAAGCCUGAUGCAGCCAUGCCGCGUGUAUGAAGAAGGCCUUCGGGUUGUAAAGUACUUUCAGCGGGGAGGAAGGUGUUGUGGUUA